rnacentral:rRNA from 1 species
AUUGAACGCUAGCGGGAUGCUUUACACAUGCAAGUCGAACGGAGUGGCGGACGGGUGCGUAAUAUAUCGGCACGUGCCCAGUCUCGGGGUAUAACUACUCGAAAGAGUGGCUACUACUGCAUAAUAUUGUAGCGGCCGAUACCGGAUUAGCUAGUUGGUGGGGUAACGGCUCACAAAGGCAACGAUCCGUAGCCGGUUUGAGAGGCCGACCAGCCACACUGGGACUGAGACACGGCCCAGACUCCUACGGGAGGCAGCAGUGGGGAAUUUUGGACAAUGGGGGAAACCCUGAUCCAGCCAUCCCGCGUGUAUGAUGAAGGCCUUCGGGUUGUAAAGUACUUUUGGCAGAGAAGCGGUAUCUGCAGAAUAAGCACCGGCUAACUACGUGCCAGCCGCCGCGGUAAUAC